rnacentral:rRNA from 1 species
UACGAAGGGGGCUAGCGUUGCUCGGAAUCACUGGGCGUAAAGGGUGCGUAGGCGGGUCUUUAAGUCAGGGGUGAAAUCCUGGAGCUCAACUCCAGAACUGCCUUUGAUACUGAGGAUCUUGAGUACGGGAGAGGUGAGUGGAACUGCGAGUGUAGAGGUGAAAUUCGUAGAUAUUCGCAAGAACGACCGGUGGCGAAGGC